CCCAAGCUAAAUUUUGACGUAAUUUCUCUUGAUGUAGCUAGCAGGCGGCAGAGGUGUAUUUGAAAGUCAGCAGCAUUCUGACAGAGAUUAGAAUGUCCUCCGUCUGCUAGUCUUCUUGAUUCUUAAAUUCAGUGGAGCUCAAAUAGACAACAAAGCUUGUGGAACUAAUUAAGUGUUAGCAUAAAUAUCUAGCCUUCAUCCCGUUGAGCUUCCUCAAUAAAUAUUACUCCCUGUUUUUAUAUUUUUAUUUUAUAAAGCAGAAAAUAAAUAUUUAUUUUAUUUUUAUGCCACCACAGUGAAGGUACUUAUGGGUUUUAUGCCACUCGUAUACUCACAUGGGGCUUAGUAUUUUUUAACAUUUUUAUUUUCUUUUCAAGAUAGCAUGAUUAACUAAUAAUCUAAUUAAGGAAAGUAAAUAAUUAAAGGGAAAAGAGAAUGCAGAAGGGUUCAAUGUUUUAAGUCUUCUUGACAAGACUUCUCACCGUGUUCAUUCUUCAGGUGCGUCAUUUGAUUCAGGUGCGGACCUUGACGUCUGCACCUCUUCGUUUGCCCAGCAGUUUGAAGUGCGGCGUUGGCAGUAUCCUGCUCAGUGUGUUUGUGCUCGUAGAUCCAGGUCCUUCACUUGGUAGAGUCUGAGAGUUAUAAAACUCCUCCGUGUUUUGCUCAAAGUGUACCUGCUCAUAGAGACAAGGCAG
rnacentral:lncRNA from 1 species